rnacentral:lncRNA from 1 species
UAUACAUAUACAUUGUUAGCAGUUGUUUAUUUAUUUAUUUAUUUUCUUUUUUUAAUUUUGUAGAAUAUAAUGAAUAUAUGUACGUAUAUCAGAGGUGGUGCUGAUUUUGCGUACGACAUUUUUUUAGUAACAACUCAUGUUGUUACUAUUAUGAUGGCAGUUAUGUGUGCUUGUAUUUUUAUUGGUCCUGUACAUAUUUGUGCUUUAAAAAAUUUUCCGUACACCUGCAAAUUACCAUACCCUGUUUUCUCAACCUUAUUUAUGGGUACUUCAGCCGUUUGGGAAGUGGUUAAAAGCGCUUCAUCAAUAUGUAAAGUUUAUGGAGGUAAUAAAACAAAAAUAUAAAAUCGUUAUAUACAUAUACAUGGGCGAGCUCCAAUAUUUUUAUUUUCUUUGUUACAACAAACUCCAUUUUUUUUUUUUUUUUUUUUGUUAUAAAUUUCAGAUAUAUCAAUAUUAUCAAAGAUGUUAUAAAAUAAUUAUUAAUUUUUUAUUAUACAUGUCAAACAGUAAAAAAUAUUACGGAUAUAUGACAAAAUGUAA